ACGACACUCGGCAACGGAUAUCUCGGCUCUCGCAUCGAUGAAGAACGUAGCGAAAUGCGAUACCUGGUGUGAAUUGCAGAAUCCCGCGAACCAUCGAGUCUUUGAACGCAAGUUGCGCCCGAGGCCACUCGGCCGAGGGCACGCCUGCCUGGGCGUCACGC
rnacentral:rRNA from 1 species